rnacentral:rRNA from 1 species
UAAAACAGUUUACCGAAGCUGUGGAUGACACAAAAGUGUCAUGGUAGGAGAGCGUUCUAUGUGUGAAGAAGGUGUACCGUGAGGAGCGCUGGAACGCAUAGAAGUGAGAAUGCCGGUAUGAGUAGCGAAAGACAGGUGAGAAUCCUGUCCACCGUAAGACUAAGGUUUCCAGGGGAAGGCUCGUCCGCCCUGGGUUAGUCGGGACCUAAGGAGAGACCGAAAGGUGUAUCCGAUGGCCAACAGGUUGAUAUUCCUGUACUAGAGUAUAUAGUGAUGGAGGGACGCAGUAGGCUAACUAAACCGGACGAUUGGAAGAGUCCGGCUAAGCAGUGAGGUGUAAGAUGAGUCAAAUGCUUAUCUUUAUAACAUUGAGCUGUGAUGGGGAGCGAAUUUUAGUAGCGAAGUUAGUGAUGUCACACUGCCAAGAAAAGCUUCUAGCGUUUAAUGAUACUCUACCCGUACCGCAAACCGACACAGGUAGUCGAGGCGAGUAGCCUCAGGUGAUCGAGAGAACUCUCGUUAAGGAACUCGGCAAAAUGACCCCGUAACUUCGGGAGAAGGGGUGCUGACUUAGGUCAGCCGCAGUGAAUAGGCCCAAGCAACUGUU